GUUGAAACACCAGCUCCUGUACGAUCACCGAAGUUAAGCAACGUCGAGCCUGGUCAGUACCCAGAUGAGUGGCCGUUUGGGAAUACCGGGUGUCGUAA